AGAACGAACGCUGGCGGCACGCCUAACACAUGCAAGUCGAGCGCCCAGCAAUGGGAGCGGCGGACGGGUGAGUAACACGUGGGAAUAUGCCUUUCGGUACGGAACAACUCAGGGAAACUUGAGCUAAUGCCGUAUACGCCCUUACGGGGAAAGAUUUAUCGCCGAAAGAUUAGCCCGCGUCUGAUUAGCUAGUUGGUGAGGUAAUGGCUCACCAAGGCUUCGAUCAGUAGCUGGUUUGAGAGAACGACCAGCCACACUGGGACUGAGACACGGCCCAGACUCCUACGGGAGGCAGCAGUGGGAAUCUUGGACAUGGGGAAACCCUGAUCCAGCGAUGCCGCGUGAGUGAUGAAGGCCUUCGGGUUGUAAAACUCUUUACGACGGGACGAUAAUGACGGUACCGUAGAAGAAGCUCCGGCUAACGUUCGCGCCAGCAGCCGC
rnacentral:rRNA from 1 species